rnacentral:rRNA from 1 species
GGGGAAUUUUGGACAAUGGGCGAAAGCCUGAUCCAGCCAUGCCGCGUGCAGGAUGAAGCAUCUAUGGUGUGUAAACUGCUUUUGUACGGGAAGAAACACCUCUACGUGUAGGGGCUUGACGGUACCGUAAGAAUAAGGAUCGGCUAACUCCGUGCCAGCAGCCGCGGUAAUACGGAGGAUCCAAGCGUUAUCCGGAAUCAUUGGGUUUAAAGGGUCCGUAGGCGGCCCUGUAAGUCAGUGGUGAAAUCUCCCGGCUCAACCGGGAAAUUGCCAUUGAUACUGCAGGGCUUGAAUUACUAGGAAGUAACUAGAAUAUGUAGUGUAGCGGUGAAAUGCUUAGAGAUUACAUGGAAUACCAAUUGCGAAGGCAGGUUACUACUAGUGGAUUGACGCUGAUGGACGAAAGCGUGGGUAGCGAAC